rnacentral:tRNA from 1 species
ACUUAAGUAUUUUAAUUUAAAAAUGUUGUUUUGUGGGAUCAAUGAUAUGACUAUCAUCUUAGGUC